rnacentral:rRNA from 1 species
AAAGGGGGGGGCUCUUCGGGAACCUCGUUGCCUAGAGAUUAGCCCAAGUGAGAUUAGCUAGUUGGUGAGGUAAUGGGCUCACCAAGGCGACGAUCUCUAGCUGGUUUGAGAGGAUGAUCAGCCACACUGGGACUGAGACACGGCCCAG